rnacentral:rRNA from 1 species
GAUGAACGCUGGCGGCGUGCCUAAUACAUGCAAGUCGAGCGAAUGGAUUAAGAGCUUGCUCUUAUGAAGUUAGCGGCGGACGGGUGAGUAACACGUGGGUAACCUGCCCAUAAGACUGGGAUAACUCCGGGAAACCGGGGCUAAUACCGGAUAACAUUUUGAACCGCAUGGUUCGAAAUUGAAAGGCGGAUUAGGCUGGCACUUAUGGGUGGACCCGCUUCGCAUUAGCAAGUUGGUGAGGUAACGGGUCACCAAGGCAACGAUGCGUGGCCGACCUGAGAGGGUGAUCGGCCACACUGGGACUGAGACACGGCCCAGACUCCUACGGGAGGCAGCAGUAGGGAAUCUUCCGCAAUGGACGAAAGUCUGACGGAGCAACGCCGCGUGAGUGAUGAAGGCUUUCGGGCCGUAAAACUCUGUUGUUAGGGAAGAACAAGUGCUAGUUGAAUAAGCUGGCACCUUGACGGUACCUAACCAGAAAGCCACGGCUAACUACGUGCCAGCAGCCGCAGUAA